UACGUAGGGUGCGAGCGUUUGUCCGGAAUUAUUGGGCGUAAAGAGCUCGUAGGCGGUCUGUCGCGUCUGGUGUGAAAACUCAAGGCUUAACCUUGGGCCUGCAUCGGGUACGGGCAGGACUAGAGUGCGGUAGGGGAGACUGGAAUUCCUGGUGUAGCGGUGAAAUGCGUAGAGAUCAGGAAGAACACCGGUGGCGAAAGCGCUCUGCUAGGCCGCAACUGACACUGAGGGACGAAAGCUAGGGGAGCGAAUGGG
rnacentral:rRNA from 1 species